rnacentral:tRNA from 7 species
UCCUCAGUAGCUCAGCGGUAGAGCGGUCGACUGUUAAUCGAUUGGUCGCUGGUUCGAAUCCGGCCUGGGGAG